rnacentral:ribozyme from 15 species
CCCACCCUCGAAGGUGUCUUGCUUCUUCUUCUUUUUCUUCUUCCAUUUUUUUGUUCUUCUUCGUUUUCCCUUGGUUUUCGCGCAU